ensembl:lncRNA
AUGCUGGUUGUUGCUGUAAAGGAGGUUCUGGUGGUGGAUGAGGUUCUGGUUGCAGUGAAGGAGGUUCUGGUAGUGGAUGAGGUGCUGGUUGUUGCUGUGAAGGAGGUUCGGGUGGUGGAUGAGGGUCUUGUUGCCAUGAAGCAGGUUCUGGUAGUGGAUGAGGUGCUGGUUGUUGCUGGGAAGGAGGUUCUGGUGGUGGAUGAAGGUCUGGUUGCUGCUGUGGAGGAGGUUCUGGUGGUGGAUGAAGUGCUGGUUGUUGCUGUGAAGGAGGUUCGGGUGGUGGAUGAGGGUCUUGUUGCCAUGAAGCAGGUUCUGGUAGUGGAUGAGGUGCUGGGUGUUGCUGUGAAGGACGUUCUGGUGGUGGAUGAGGUGCUGGUUGGUGCUGUGAAGGCGGUUCUGGUGGUGGAUGAGGUGCUGGUUGCUGUGAAGGAGGUUGUGGUGGUGAAUGAGGUUCUGGUUGCUGUGAACAAGUUUCUGGUGGUGGAUGAGGUGCUGGUUGGUGCUGUGAAGGCGGUUCUGGUGGUGGAUGAGGCUCUCAUUGCCAUGAAGGAGGUUCUGGUGGUGGGUGAGGUGCUGGUUGCUGUGAAGGAGGUUCUGGUGGGGGAUGAGAUGCUAAUUGUUGCUGUGAAGGAGGUUCUGGUGGUGUAUGAGGUUCUGGUUGCUGUGAAGAAGUUUCUGGUGGUGGAUGAGGUGCUGGUUGUUGCUGUGAAGGAUGUUCUGGUGGUGGAUGAGGUGCUGGUUGGUGCUGUGAAGGCGGUUCUGGUGGUGGAUGAGGCUCUCAUUGCCAUGAAGGAGGUUCUGGUGGUGGCUGAGGUGCUGGUUGUUGCUGUGAAGGAUGUUCUGGUGGUGGAUGAGGUGCUGGUUGCCGUGAAGGAGGUUCUGGUAGUGGAUGAGGAGCUGGAUGUUGCUGUGAAGGAGGUUCUGGUGGUGAAUGAGGUUCUGGUUGCUGUGAACAAGUUUCUGGUGGUGGAUGAGGUGCUGGUUGUUGCUGUGGAGGAGGUUCUGGGGGUGGGUGAAAUGCUGGUUGUUGCUGUGAAGGAGGGUCUGGUGUUGGAUGAGAUGCUGGUUGUUGCUGUGAAGGGGGUUCUGGUGGUCGAUGAUAUGCUGGUUGUUGCUGUGAAGGAGGUUCGGGUGGUGGAUGAGGUGCUGGUUGCUGUGAAGGAGGUUCUGGUGGUGGAUGAGAUGCUAAUUGUUGCUGUGAAGGAGGUUCUGGUGGUGGUUGAGGUUCUGGUCGCCGUGGAGGAGGUUCUGGUGGUGGAUGAAAUGCUGGUUGUUGCUGUGAAGGAGGUUCUGGUAGUGGAUGAGGUGCUGGUUGUUGCUGUGAAGGACGUUCUGGUGGUGGGUGAGGGGCUGGUUGUUGCUGUGAAGGGGGUUCCGGUGGUGGAUGAGAUUCUGGUUGCUGUGAAAGGAGGUUCUGGGGGGGGGUGA